rnacentral:rRNA from 1 species
GACGAACCGUGCAAACGUUGUUCGGAAUCACUGGGCUUAAAGGGCGCGUAGGCGGGCAAGCAAGUCGAAGGUGAAAUCCCACGGCUCAACCGUGGAAGUGCCCCCGAUACUGCUUGUCUUGAGGGAGAUAGGGGCGUGCGGAACUUCCGGUGGAGCGGUGAAAUGCGUAGAUAUCGGAAGGAACACCGGUGGCGAAAGCGGCGCGCUGGAUCUCUUCUGACGCUGAGGCGCGAAAGCCCAGG